GUGCUUGCUUUGGCAGCAUAUAUACUAAAACUGGAACAAUACAGAGAUGAUUAGUGUGGCCCUUGCACAAGGAUAGCAUGCAAAUUUGUGAGGCAUUCAUAUUUUUU
rnacentral:snRNA from 1 species